GAACUCCUGUCUCUGUCACAUGAUGCUAAGUCUUGGUCUCUGAAUCUUUCUUUUGAGGAUCUGAAAAAUAUUAAUUUGAGGAGCAAAAUAUGUUGGGAAACCCAAAAACCCAAAUUAAAGAAUAGGAUAAAUAUUAAGCUCUUGAUAGCUGAAGAUAUAUAGACGAAUAUACCCAUGACAGAGGAGUCAGUUUUCUGACAAAUUACAGAGCACUACCAUAGUUGAUAAGGGCAUUAAAACAAGAAGAUGGGUGAAAAACAAAUAGCAGAGGGUCAGAAGGCUAAAAUAAUUUCUUACAGGCUACUCUCAUCUCAGAGACAACACAGAGUUUCUCCAAUUCAUAAAAGGUAUUUUAAUAUAAAAAAUAAUACAUAGAUAACAGCUUUAAAAAGUGAAAGAAAUGUAUUAUCUAAAUUUUAAAUGGCUUAGAAUAGGGGCCAGAUGGUGACUAUCUGGGGUACUGCAGGUCCAUGCAAUCUUUGUGGCAGUUCUUUUCUUUUUAGAAUGUAAAAACCAUCCAUAGCUUGCUGGUUGUACAGGCUACCGGCCAGAUUUGGCCUAUCGGCAACAGUUUGCCAACACCUGACUUAGAUAAGAGAACUACUCAAUUAUUAAUAUGAAUUUAAAUAACCACUUCUAAAAAUCUACUCAUACUGAGUUAGCUUAUUCAACCAACAAGGGGAAAUAAAAAAAGACAAAGAUGCUCACACUAAUAAAUCUUGAUUAGCCAUAACUGUUUACUACCUUCUCCAUUCCCAUACCCAACUUCAUUAUAAGAAAGGUAAAUAAUAAAUCAAUCGGAAAACCAAACAUAUUAUGGAAUCAGAAUAAACAUGGAAUCUUCCAUACUUCCAACAUCUAAAAUUCAACAAAUUACAUUUAUUUGGUUCUUUACAGGUGACACAGCACUUUUACAUAAUUAUCUCACUCAACCCAUAUUCAAAAUUAGGAUCUGAGGCACUACCAAGAACCUGAAUAAGUAAUACUUUCAGGAAAAUAAAAAAUAUGACUGUUCAGUUUUAGAAAUAUAGUUAAGGAGGGUUAAACAAAAAAUGGUUCUAAAAUAAUGUCCACUUUGAACAUUCUACUUAAUGUUUUAAUAAACUUAAAAUGAUAUAAAAAGACUGGGCACGGUGACUCACGCCUGUAAUCCCAGCACUUUGGGAGGCCAAGGCAGGCAGAUCACUUGAGGUCAGGAGUUCAAGACCAGCCUAGCCAACAUAGUGAAACCCCCGUCUCUACUUAAAAUACAAAAAAUUAGCUGAGAGUGGUGGCGUGUGCCUGUAGUCCCAGCUACUCGGGAGGCUGAGGCAGGAGAAUCACUUGAACCUGGGAGGCGGAGGCUGCAGUGAGCCCAGAUCGCAUUACUGCACUCCAGCCUGGGUGACAGAGCAAGACUCCAUCUCAACAACAACAAAAAAUCACAGUGCCAAGUCUAGUGAUUCCACGUCUACACUAGUCCUAUCCAUAGCCUUUGUUGGAAUAAAAUAUGAAAAGAGAUGGUAAAAAUGAUACCUAAAAAGACACUAGAUGCCAAACAGUCCCAGUGAUCAGUAAUAACUAAAAAACUAUGAGUAUCAACUACUAUGUCCCACACAUAGUGGUUUCCAUAUACUAUUUUACUCAAACUACCAAUAAUCUUAACAAAGCAGGUAUUCUUACUUUCUCCACUUAGUAGAUGGGGAAAGACAGGUGAGAUAGUUAUAAAUUACUUAGCCAAGGUGGGACGUGGUGGCUCAUGCCUGUAAUCCCAGCAUUUUGGGAGGCCAAGGCAGGUGGAUCACCUGAGGUCGGGAGUUUGAGACCAGCCCGGCCAACAUGGCGUAACCCUGUCCCUACUAAAAAUACAAAAAUAGCCAGGUGUGGUGGCCUGGGCCUGUAAUCCCAGCUACUUGGGAGGCCGAGGCAAAAGAAUCGCUUGAACCCGCAAGGCAGAGGUUGCAACGAGCCGAGAUCGCGCCACUGCCCUCCAGCCUGGGUGACAGAACGAGACUCUCGUCUCAAAAAAAAAAAUAAAUUACUUAGCCUAAACCAAUGAACCCAAGUAAUCUGACUUUGGAGUCUGCACUAAACAUGUUUGAACAGAGCAAAAAGAUAGAUAGAUGCAAAUGGUCCUCAUUUACGCAGGGCACUAUUGCCAGGAAGAGGUCACAAAGAAUCUACUUGUAUCAGAGACAAGUAUUUCACAGUAGGGAAAGGAGAACAGCAAAACAUAAAAGGCUUUCAAUAAGAACUUUUACCUUGAAAAAUUAAACCCAAAUAUGUAGCAAUAACUUGAUGUUGUAUGAAAUACCAAGUAGGUUUUAACAGCAAUUAUCUGGUAAUUUUUAGUAUAAAACAAAGAAUGAUGCUUUAAAAGAGAAUAAUUUGAAUUCAAAGAUGAGAAAGUGCUCGAGAAAAGCAAAACUUUUAAUAGUUUUACAAAAAUAAUCCUCUUUAUGAACAUGCUGACAUCUUAGAUAUGAUCAUGUAUCAUGUAUGGUGGAAAAAUUCCUAUACAACUUCAUCAACGCAGGAAGCAUCAGGGACUAAAAUAACACAAUCUCAGAUUAGGGGACUUCACGCCCAUCCUUCCCAUACCCAUCACCAAUAAAGACAUUUAGGAGUUCAGCAACAACAAUGACAGUUGGGCAGAUUUGACACAGGAAAAUGUCUAAACCUUCCAUCACCUAGCAGGAUAAUUCUGAAAAUUCAUUGUGCAGAUAAGACAGGUAACUUUUAAAAAAUGCUUAUUUCUGAACACUGCACUGAGGGUAGACCCCCAAAAUCAGUUUCAAGAGUGUGAGAUAAGAGGCCUACAAAUCACUCUGUCCUUUACAAACUCCCUCCUCAUUCUCUGCAUUUGCCUAGGAUAUUCACUCUAUAUGGAAUAUCUUUUUCCUAGCUGAUUCUACCUGUUCAAAUUUUACCGACUACCUGAAGCCAUUUUUGAUUACUCUGUUAUUUGCCUCAUCUAAACUCUCGGAUCAUUUAUUCUAUGAUAUGCAGUUUAGCACUUUAUAACAUGUGGUAGUCUUAUGCCAGUCUAAUUAUUGUCAAAGAUGUCAAUCCUUUGUUCUAACUCACAUAGGAGACUUUUUGUUUUUUUUUUUGUUUGUUUUUUUUUGUUUUGAGAGCUGGAGUCUCGCUCUGUCACCCAGGCUGGAGUGCAGUGGUGCGAUCUUGGCUCACUGCAACCUCCACCUUUGUGUUCAAGCAAUUCUCCUUCCUCAGCCUCCUGAGUAGCUGGGAUUACAGGCAUGUGCCACCAUGCCCGGCUAAUGUUUGUAUUUUAGUAGAGAUGGGGUUGGUUGGCCAGGCUGGUCUUGAACUCCUGAUCUCAAGUGAUACGCCCAUCUCGGUCUCCCAAAGUGCUGGGAUUAUAAGCGUGAGCCAUGGCACCCAGCCUCACAUAGGAAACUUCUUAGAGCAACUUAAAGUUGUUCAACUAUGUUAUACGUCUUUCUUAUGUUUUACUAAGUCUAGUACAGUAAAACAUAUACAAUUAAUUAUUAUUAAAAUCACCUUAAGAAAUACUAAAAACAAGGCCAGAAUAUAAGAAAUAAAAUAUUGAGAGCCUAUUAACAAACUCAGCUUGUGAGUGAUUUCAGGGAAUGGAAAGUUGAGUCAAAAAAAAAUAGGAAAGAUUUUAACAGCUUUCUGUGGAUUUUAUUAUAGAUUUUAUGUGGAGUAAUCCACAGAAUAUGUAAGACUAGUAGGUACUAGGCACUCAAAAAAUGUUUAUCAUACAUAUACUUCUGAAUAGUUGUCAAGAAAAAAGCAAUUUUAAACAUGGCUUACGUUACACAGAAAUUACCUGGUUUAAGGGCCAUCAUGUGACCUGAGAAGUUUUGACAGUUUGAUCUAUACAGACUAUGAAUGCUAAACUCUUCUACCACAUUAUAAUCCUUUGUCUAUCCUUAAUAGAUAUUCAAGUCCUCAAACAUACCUUACCCUAUGCCUGCACCUUUUGAAUGUUCUCAUUAAACCAAGGGAAGUCUUGGAACCUCCUUAUUAGUCUGCCUUGCCAAGCUGAAGGUAUGUAACAAUACAUAUCUAUAGUGCAGAUAAAACAAGAAUAUACUAGAAUGUGUCUGCUCUGAAAAAGCAUCCCAGCUCAAAUAAGUUUAGAAAACAAUAAAUCAAAGCUAAACAACUCUUGUAAUGAAAGGACUUCUCAGAGCCCCUAAUUUGCUGAUCCAUACUAAGGGUAUUGGUAUUUAAAAUUAUUUACCUGUAAAGAACUUUUUUCCAAGACACACUAAGCAGAGAAAAGCAAUAACCUCUACACAUAUUGGUUCCAAUUUCUUGCUCUGGCUCAUAAGUAUAUUCUUUCAAAACUACCCAUAUAAUCACAGAAAAAUGUUGUACACCCACACAUAAAUGUGUACAUAUUACCAGAUGCAAAAGUUUCAAACCAAUAAUCUGAACUCUAAACAUAAGUAACAUAAGUAAACAUAAACAACUCUAAAACAUUAAGGUAGCUCCAUAUCCUCUGAUUGACACAUCAAUACCUCCUCUUGGAUCGUUCUCUGCUCCUAUCUCUAGAACUGUGCCGACUUCUCUGGUGGCUAC
rnacentral:lncRNA from 1 species